GCUGCUCCCUGGAUGCUGUCCCUGGCCCAGGAAGCAGAGAUCGGAGCUGCCCUUCCACUGCCCCUCCUGAGGAAGCCGCAGCCCCCGACGAGUCUCUCCUUGGUCUCCUCCAGGCAGAACAAUCCAGAGGACCUCAGCCGCUCUUUGUGUGGAGGAAACGCCGCGGGACGCGUGCUGGGAAUGUGCUGGGAAUGCUGCUGGCUCGGUGUGGAGCAGGAGGAGCAGCAUCCCUGGUGUAAUUGAGAUGUUGGUGCCUAUCUCUCGGAGGUGGAGGCAAUCAUCCGCCAAAGCGCUGCGGGACAGAGAGGCAGAGCAGCGGCUUGAUCACCUCCCUAAUGGCCGGUCCUGGGUGAGCUCGGGAGGAGGAUUCCCGCAAUCCGCUCCGCUCCUGCAGGCUCCCAGGGAGCAGCGAGGCCUCUAAACCGGUUAGGAAGCUCCAGGCGUUGGCACUACCUGGAUUACAAAGCUCGUCAUGGAGUAAUGCACCGGCUGUUCCUCAUCCCCAAUCCCCACGAAAAUGGAAAAAUAUGGAGUGGAGGAGUAUUGCUGAGAAGUGUCACUGGUCUCAGCAGGUAGUUCUUGGCUGUGAAGCACCACAAGUGCCUUCCUCAUCCAGAGAGGAGUGCUGGUGAUGGGAGGCUGGGCUGGCCUUUCCCUCCUUCCUCCCACAGGGAUUGUUCUCCCGUCAUCCAGUUCCCAGGAACGUGAAGAAGCAGCGAGGAUUGAUGAACGUUCCAUGAGCAGCAGUGCUGAGGAGAGGCCAAACACUCUGGUGUCCUUAGGCUGUGGCCCUAAGGACCACUUGGACCACCCAGCCCCACAGGAUGGUCCUGGCCCUACCUGGGGGUUCCACCAAGGCACUCCCAGCCAGCUCCUGCAAUGCCUUUGUAGCCUCGUGCUGCUGCUGCCUCUGCCUUCCGUGGGCUGCCAGCAAGUGGGGCAGCCUGGGCCAGGUCUGCACUGGGCCAGAAGUUCAUGGAAUCAUGGAAUGGUUUGGCUUGGAAGUGUCCUCUGAAGGCCACCUAGACCAACCCUCAGGUUGCUGAGAGCCCCAUCUAACGUGACCAUGAGUGUUUCCGGGGAUGGAGCACCCACAACCAGUCCAGAGCUUCAUCCCCUUCAGCAUGAAGCAGCUCUUCCUUCUAUCUCUCCUGAAUCUCCCCUCUUUUAGGUUAAAACCACGACCCCUUGUCCUGUUGCUGUAGGCCCUGACAAGAAGUUUGCUCCAGCUCUCUUGGAGCCCCCUGAGGCACCAGAAGGGCUCUGAGGUCUCCUUUCCUUCUCCAGGCUGAACAACCCCGGUUCUUGCAGAAUUUUCCAUGGGAGGGUUGCUCCAGCCUUCGGAGCACGUUUGUGGCUGCUCCAACAGGUCCCUGCCUUAUUCCUUCGGGAGCCGGCGAUCCCGAUUCACACCCGCCACGUGCUGGAUCCUUCUCUUCCAGCCCAAGGCUGAAAUAAGCCGGGUUGGCAGCGCACGGAGCACCCACGCAGGGCCCGCAGCGCCCUCCCCGCCCCGCACCGAGGCGGCUGCUGCUGCCUUUGAGCCGCUGGCAGGGCCUGGGCGCAGCCCUGAUUAGAUCGCUGUCACCAGGGAACAGGAAGGUUAAUUGCCAUUCUCUUUGUGUGCCGCUCGGAGA